CUCCCUCCACUAUAUUUUGAAAAGUUUUUGCUUAUAUUUAUCCUGAAGGGAGAUAUUGUAAGCAUAUCACUUAAAAAAAAUAAAUUGCGUUGCAAUUCAGAAAAUCUGACAUUAAAAAAACAAACAACUCCUAUAGACUGUAUUAAGCAGGGUCCUCUAAAUCCUAUCGUUCCUGUAAGUUCUCGUAAUUGUCCUAUUAAUAGUUAAAUCCCCCCACUCAUAUUGUAAAGCGCUGCAGAAUCUGUUGGCGCUAUAUAAAUGGCAAUUAUAAUAAAUAAAUGGAAACUAAUAACUACACUUUGUGGACAGAGCAGAAUUUUUCCAUGUGAAGAUAUAAAAACGGAACAUAGCACUGCAGUUUCCCAGAAGCCUUCGAGUAAAUGAAAAAAAGUUUAAUGUCAGGAGUUUGUGU